rnacentral:tRNA from 1 species
GCCUGGGUGGCUCAGUCGGUUAAGCGUCUGACUUAGGCUCAGGUCAUGAUCUCAUGGUUUGUGGGUUCGAGCCCUGCAUCAGGCU